AUUGAACGCUGGCGGCAGGCUUAACACAUGCAAGUCGAACGAUGAAGAUAUAGCUUGCUAUAUCGGAUUAGUGGCGGACGGGUGAGUAACACUUAGGAAUCUACCUUUUAGCGGGGGAUAGCUCGGGGAAACUCGAAUUAAUACCGCAUAAUUUCUACGGAAUAAAGAGGGCUUUUAGCUCUCACUAGAAGAUGAGCCUAAGUAAGAUUAGCUAGUUGGUGGGGUAAAAGCCUACCAAGGCGACGAUCUUUAGCUGGUCUGAGAGGAUGAUCAGCCACACUGGGACUGAGACACGGCCCAGACUCCUACGGGAGGCAGCAGUGGGGAAUAUUGGACAAUGGGGGCAACCCUGAUCCAGCCAUGCCGCGUGUGUGAAGAAGGCCUUUUGGUUGUAAAGCACUUUAAGCAGUGAAGAAGACCUAUUGGUUAAUACCCAAUAGCGAUGACAUUAACUGCAGAAUAAGCACCGGCUAACUCUGUGCCAGCAGCCGCGGUAAUACAGAGGGUGCAAGCGUUAAUCGGAAUUACUGGGCGUAAAGCGAGCGUAGUGGUUAAAUAAGUCAGAUGUGAAAGCCCUGGGCUCAACCUAGGAACGGCAUCUGAAACUAUUUAACUAAAGUAGGUGAGAGGGAAGUAGAAUUUCAGGUGUAGCGGUGAAAUGCGUAGAGAUCUGAAGGAAUACGAUGGCGAAGGCAGCUUCCUGGCAUCAUACUGACACUGAGGCUCGAAAGCGUGGGUAGCAAACAGG
rnacentral:rRNA from 1 species